AUACAUACCUUGCAGGAGAGAGACCUCGAUCAAGAAGGUGGGUCUCCCAGGGUAAUGUUCUUCCAUUGCACUUGGGAAGGGCUAGUCACUGUGAUUUCCCCAAACAUGGAAAACUCUAACUGCAUAAUUUAUGGUAAUGGGGGACUGCAUUCUCACUGUACCCUG